UAAUCAUAACACUUUUCAAAAAAAAAAAUUGCACUAGUGGUCUACCCAUAUCUCAACAUGGCCAAUAUUUAUCAGUAUUGUCAGUUUAACCUACUUGGUGAGUUUUGUGCAAUAGACUUUUGGCAUAAAAUCGAAUGCAAAUUAUUACUUUUU